rnacentral:rRNA from 1 species
GACGAACGCUGGCGGCGUGCUUAACACAUGCAAGUCGAACGGAAAGGCCAGUGCUUGCACUGGUACUCGAUUGGCGAACGGGUGCGUAACACGUGUGUGAUCUGCCUUGCACUUUGGUAUAAGCUUGGGAAACUGGGUCUACUACCGUAUAUGAACUGCCUUUAGUGUGGUGGCUGGAAAGUUUUUUCGGUUCAAGCUGGGCUCGCGGCCUAUCCGCUUGUUGGUGGGGUAAUGGCCUACCAAGGCGUCGACGGGUAGCCGGCCUGGGAGGGUGUACGGCCACAAUGGGACUGAGAUACGGACCAGACUCGUACGGGAGGCAGCAGUGGGGAAUAUGGCACAAUGAGCGGAAGCCUGAUGAAGAGACGCCGGGUGGGGGAUGACGGCCUUCGGGUUGUAAACACCUUUCGACAGGGACGAAGCGUAAGUGACGGUACCUGUAUAAGAAGCACCGGCUAACUACGUG